GGCACCAGCUGAGAGACAGAAUUUUUGGAAGAACUUAGGAAAGAAACUAAGAAAAGACAACAGCACACAGCAACAAGUUUUAUAGAUGACUCGCCUGAGGCAAAGAGAGUUUUGGCAGCUUUCCUGAGGAUGCGCAUAGGAAGUAGGAAAUCAGGCCUCUGUGGACACCUGGAGCCUGAGGUGCCUGUGGGGCUUCACAGGGUGAUGUCCAGGGGACUUCUGGGCAUGCAGUUCUGGAGCUGACCUGCGGGCUGGAGCUAGCAGUCAUCCGGGCCUCUCAUGUCACCGAGAACAUUAUGGUGGGCGCCUGUGAGCUCUUCCUGACCACCCAAGACUUCUAGGAUGCUUU
rnacentral:lncRNA from 1 species